rnacentral:sRNA from 3 species
AUAUCUCUCUGUACGGGAAGGAUGAGAAGCUUCUACCAGGGUUCGAUUCGAGCGCAGCGAGAAAGCGUUGCCGCAGGCAACGACCCGAAGGGCGAAGCGCGCAGCGCUGA